UUGAGUUGUAGCAGGGUGUUGCGUUCCCUCUUCAGAGGCGUGCGUAACAUAAUGGGGGCUCAUCCGGGAUUUGAACCCGGGACCUCUCGUAACACUAGAGAAAGUACACAAGCCAAGUGAUAAGUUCCAGCCAUCUCCUAACCACACACACUCUUGGUAAACACGUGUCAAGCCAUACACUGUGCUGUGCCGUUCCUGCUCUAUGUGAAUCAGAGUCAUUAAACUACCUCAACUGGAAUCCUACCGGUCUGUCAUCUGUGCCCUUACAAGCACCUGCGAGAGAACAUAUAGUGCUAAGAAUAUACAGUCCAACAGGUUCUCUACUACAUACAGCCCAAGGAGACAGAAUAUGUGGGUGCUUGGAAAAGACAUUUGAUCCCUCCUCACAUGGUGGGCACUCAACCAUGUGAUUCCCCCAGCCCCAUCGACGUUCAUGUACCACACAGUGCACAGUUGGUCAUACGACAUCCAGUCUGUCAUCAAACUAUGUCAGUACUACAAAUCCUAAUCUCCAUAAAGGCCUCUUAUACCAAAAAGCACAUCUGCAGACCUCUAAUAUUCUGAUUUGCAUAAAGCUCAAAGGCCUUGGUUGUCAUAUACCCUUA